AGGAAUAAAUUUUCUGGGCAUUGUGGUUCACAUGCUUGAACUCCUUCCCUUGCAAGGUUACGUGCUCUUUGAUCACAAAGAGACGACGAUCCUAAGCAUGGGGACCUCUGGCUACAUCAGAAGGAAGCACAGCAACAGCAUUUCCUAGAAGGGCAUGGACAAAAUGAUUGAACUGCAGAGCAGUAAAACAUCAGUACUGAAGGAACAGCAAGCAGAGCGUGAGGCUACAUCAGGAUUCUCGAAGGGUAGGAUGCAAGACCCUACAGCAGAGCAUGUACCUGGAAAAAAUGUGAGCUUUGUUUCAUCCUUCUCCGACAUUAAAAAGCCAAUGGUAAGAUUCUGAAUUUCAGUGAUGGCAAGAAUACUGUCCUAAGCACAUUUUUCCAAAUUUGAAGCUGAAUCUACAAGUGCUGGCAAGGACCGAGCCCCUAAACUUAUACUUGAACAUGUCCAAGAAAAGUAACCUUCCUUUCAGAGAAAUAAGAGAUGGAGAAUCAACAUAUAGCAAUCAAAAUGUUUUUUUCUACCAUCAAUCCUAUCAAGAACAAUGCUUACUUCCUUCCUCCUCAGUCUUCAUAACAUCUGGUGAACUGGAAAUCUAAAAGAUUUUGUCCAUUUCCAUGAAUAAGCCAAUGUUCUGUCAGAGAUACUGUAUAGUAACCAAUAAGAUUUUCUGACAACCCAAUUACCUGAACAACAGAGCACAAUUUGCCAUGUCAAAGGCACUGUAUGAACCUCACAAAAUUAGCUGCUGGUAAUUUAUUCUGAUCAACAGAACAGGCAAAGUCACUCAUCUCCUUAAUCAAAGGCAAAUGUCAGGCUGGGACAAGAGAAACAGCAAAAAGUAAUUCAGAAUUGGUAUUGUAGAGAUGAGCAAUUACUAGCUGGUCUUGAAUCCGUUUCCCGACCUCUGACAACCAUAAGAAAUACUGUUUUGAAAUGUCUGAAAAUAUUCAGAUGUUUUCCUGCAGAGUUAACUAUGCAGUAUCUGAAUAAAAGGCAUUUCCUCCUGUCUAUGAAAGGAAAGAAGGCACCAGGUUCUCACCACCGGCUAUAAAUUGUCUCUGGCAUCGCACACAAAUCCAUUCACCAGCACACUCAAGAUUUAAGGUUCAUAUCCAGAGAAGCCAAGCUGCCAACAUUAGCCUGCCUUUGAAGAAAGGAAACCUUUUAAUGACAAAAGCAGUCUUACAAUGAAGGAUAGGAGGAGUGUGCACGUGCUUGGGGAAGUGUGGAUCUCUGGGACACCAGGAGCCCUCAGUACUGCCAGUGGCACACAGCCUCAAAGGAAACCUCUGGUACAUCCAAGCAAAAGACAAACCUUCAGGAAAGAAACAAAGUUGCAGCUACGUUCCACCUCACUAUGGUGCCUCCUGAAACCCUGCUGACUUCCAACUUCCCAGGCUGAAUAACACCUCGCAGACAAUUCCCAUGGACCUAUUUUUUGUUUUUCUUGCUGAAGAUGUCCCUGAAAGGACGUCUGCAGUGCGGUUGCUAUGGGAAAGCAGGCUGAGAUCACGGAAAACGUUAGCAAAACUAACUGCUUGAUGCUGUAACAUUAAAACAAGGCUGUUG
rnacentral:lncRNA from 7 species